GGCUGCUAUUACAGCUCUGAGUCCAUAAUGUCUCUAAUUUCAUUUUUUUCAUUUGUGACGAAGCCACAAUUCUCAGUUCUGAGUAAUGGUCCAAAAUGGAUGCUUUAGCUCCAGUCAUUGUGCUUGCAUUCCAAUCAACAGAAUAAAAAAAAAAGAAGAAGAAGAGUUCGUAGAAGGUAGCAUACCAACUAUCUUAAAAACAAACAGAAUCUUUACAUAUAUUAUUUACUUACUAUCUAUCUAUAUGCAUGGAUGUGUACACACCUCAAUAUGAAAACGUAUACCAGAGGUUCUCUCCUUCCAUCAUGUGAAUACUGGCUUAAAAUUUAUUUGCUGAGCCAUUGCACUAGCCCCCAGCUGUCUUGGAAGUUGAUAUUAUAGAAGCUUCCAAAGGCCAUGAAUCUAUCUCCUUAAAAAGACUUUCAUCACAGAGCCACACCCAAGAAAACUGGUAAAUUGGCCUUCACCAUAAGUAGAUGUCCAGAAAACUAUGGGUUGUUCUUUUACUGUGGAAGAAGCUGAAAAUAAGAUGCCAGUGGAUGAACCCAGAUUUCUGCCACAGUGUGCCUAGGUACCCUUGUCUCUUGAAACCUUUGAUUUCUUGGUUGCUCUGUGCUCCCUUUAUUCCACAGCAAAGGGAGAGCCUCUACAGCCCUGUGCACAGCCCUUGAAACACUUCUUCUUGCCCUCUUUAAUGGUGCCUCAGGGGUCUGGUGCAGAAGAAAGCAGGUCCUUAGGUCAGCCACCAAAAAGUAGCCACACAAAUCCAAAUAAUAGCUGGUAAACACACCCGUCUUCUGCAGUGAGGGUGGAUUUGUAGGCACACAGAGAAGAGCUACCAUGGGGCAGCAUGCCCUAAGAAAUUCACCAAACAGGAAGACAUGCAGGGGUCUCUGGAGAGUCCUCAGGAUCACAUCCUGCUAAAUAUGCACCUCCAGGUUUCUAUAGGAUUCUAAAAUUGUUUUAAAAAGACAGAGAUCUCCCUUCAGUUAUGAAGAGAACAGAGCUGAGGAUAUAGCUUGGUGGGUAGAGGGCUUAUUUGGUAUACACUGCUUUCCAUUCUCAGUAAUGCAUAAGCCUGACUCAGUAGCACAGGAUUUGAAGUCCCAACAGACUGGAGAGGGGCAGGAAGAUCUGAAGUUCAAGGUCAUGCUUGAAUACUUAGGGAACUUGGGCUACAGCAGACCAUCUCAAAAAAGAGAUAAUUAGGGGGAGGGAAUAAAUGCAACCCACAUGCAAAUGAGAAAAUUAAUUCCAAAAACAGAUGUAGUUGACACAGGUUAUAUGACAGAAAUUGUCAGUGAUUUCUGUCUGUCACUUUUCUCUUUUAUUCCAAAUGUCUGCACACACACACCACGAGUAAUUUAAACAU
rnacentral:lncRNA from 1 species